GUGAGGUAACGGCUCACCAAGGCUAUGACGGGUAGCUGGUCUGAGAGGACGAUCAGCCACACUGGGACUGAGACACGGCCCAGACUCCUACGGGAGGCAGCAGCAGGGAAUAUUGCACAAUGGGCGAAAGCCUGAUGCAGCGACGCCGCGUGAGGGAUGACGGCCUUCGGGUUGUAAACCUCUUUCAGGAGGGACGAAGCGAAAGUGACGGUACCUCCAGAAGAAGCCCCGGCCAACUACGUGCCAGCAGCCGCGGUAAUACGUAGGGGGCGAGCGUUGUCCGGAUUCAUUGGGCGUAAAGAGCUCGUAGGCGGCUCAGCAAGUCGGCCGUGAAAGCCCGAGGCUCAACCUCGGGACGCCGGUCGAAACUGCUGUGGCUAGGGUCCGGUAGAGGAGAGUGGAAUUCCCGGUGUAGCGGUGAAAUGCGCAGAUAUCGGGAGGAACACCAGUAGCGAAGGCGGCUCUCUGGGCCGGUACCGACGCUGAGGAGCGAAAGCUAGGGGAGCAAACAGGAUUAGAUACCCUGGUAGUCCUAGCCGUAAACGUUGGGCACUAGGUGUGGCGGAUUCAUUGAUGUCUGCCGUGCCGUAGCUAACGCAUCAAGUG
rnacentral:rRNA from 1 species